rnacentral:rRNA from 1 species
CACGGAGUUAGCCGGUGCUUCUUCUGCGAGUAACGUCAAUUGCUGCGGUUAUUAACCACAACGCCUUCCUCCUCGCUGAAAGUACUUUAAACCCGAAGGCCUUCUUCAUACACGCGGCAUGGCUGCAUCAGGCUUGCGCCCAUUGUGCAAUAUUCCCCA